CGUGUUCCUCAGCUUGUCCCUUUCUCCAAACUGUUACUGGGAGGGAUACCUGCUUCUCAAGAGAGAAGAAGAACUAUGUAUCCCAGAGGACCUCAUGGUCAGAGAAGGAAGAUAUGUCACGGAAGUCACGGGAUCUCUCUCUCGCUCUCUCUCCUGGCAGAGGGUGUGGGUGUGCUUCCAAGCUGUGCACCUUCAUUCGAGUAGGCCUUUUGGUUUUGGAAACUUUCUCUCUCAUUUUAUUUAUUAGCCUCAGUUUCAAUUAGAUUGUAUUAUAUUGUGUUAUCUUGCAUUCUGAUAUCAUAUUAAAAUAAGUUUUCC
rnacentral:lncRNA from 1 species